rnacentral:miRNA from 1 species
UUGUUUGGAUGUUGUCGGA